rnacentral:rRNA from 1 species
UACGGAGGAUCCGAGCGUUAUCCGGAGUGACUGGGCGUAAAGAGUUGCGUAGGUGGUUUGUUAAGCGAAUAGUGAAACCCGGUGGCUCAACCACACGGACUAUUAUUCGAACUGGCAAACUUGAGAAUGGUAGAGGUAACUGGAAUUUCUAGUGUAGGAGUGAAAUCCGUAGAUAUUAGAAGGAACACCAAUGGCGUAGGCAGGUUACUGGACCAUUUCUGACACUAAGGCACGAAAGCGUGGGGAGCGAACCGG